UUGCCAGACUCCUACGGGAGGCAGCAGUGGGGAAUAUUGCACAAUGGGGGAAACCCUGAUGCAGCGACGCCGCGUGAGCGAUGAAGUAUUUCGGUAUGUAAAGCUCUAUCAGCAGGGAAGAAAAUGACGGUACCUGACUAAGAAGCCCCGGCUAACUACGUGCCAGCAGCCGCGGUAAUACGUAGGGGGCAAGCGUUAUCCGGAUUUACUGGGUGUAAAGGGGGCGCAGACGGCCGUGGCAAGCCCGGUGUGAAAGGCAGGGGCAUAACCCCUGGACUGCACUGGGAACUGUCAGGCUGGAGUGCCGGAGGGGUAAGCGGAAUUCCUGGUGUAGCGGUGAAAUGCGUAGAUAUCAGGAGGAACACCGGCGGCGAAGGCGGCUUACUGGACGGCAACUGACGUUGAGGCCCGAAAGCGUGGGGAGCAAACAGGAUUAGAUACCCGAGUA
rnacentral:rRNA from 1 species